GAAUAUUGGACAAUGGGCGAAAGCCUGAUCCAGCCAUGCCGCGUGUGUGAAGAAGGUCUUCGGAUUGUAAACAUCUUUAAGUUGGGAGGAAGGGCAGUAAGCGAAUACCUUGCUGUUUUGACGUUACCGACCGACUACGCACCGGCUACCUCUGUGCCAGCAGCCGCGGUACUACAUAGGGUGCAAGCGUGACUCGGAAUUACUGGGCGUAAAGCGCGCUUAGGUGGUUCGUUAAGUUGGAUGUGAAAUCCCCGGGCGCAACCUGGGAACUGCAUCCAAAACUGGCGAGCUAGAGUAGGGCAGAGGGUGGUGGAAUUUCCUGUGUAGCGGUGAAAUGCGUAGAUAUAGGAAGGAACACCAGUGGCGAAGGCGACCACCUGGGCUCAUACUGACACUGAGGUGCGAAAGCGUGGGGAGCAAACA
rnacentral:rRNA from 1 species